UAACCUCUGACGAUUUACGUGAAUGUUG
rnacentral:ncRNA from 1 species